rnacentral:lncRNA from 1 species
GAAAAUAUACUCACAUCAACAUAGAGGAGAAAAACACAUAAAAUACACACUAGAAAAAGGGUAUACUUCACACAUAUCCCAUCUUCUCCAUAUAGGCCACCAUAUUCACACACAAAAUACAAUUCAGAUAGAGAAAGCUACGAAUACACAUACACUACACACACAGACACAGAAAAGAGAGAGGAGAAGCUCACUAGAACAUAGGGGAAAAGGGGAAAACACAUACAAAAUACUCUAAAAGAUCAUCACCAUGGACUGAAUACAAACCCACUCUUAUAUUCUCACCGACCUUCAACUCACAAGAUACUCCUAAUUUCCAUUUAGAACACUAUACACACAAUAAUCUACACAUGAAAGAAGCUUAUAGGAGUUGAGGGAAAUAAAGAGGGUGAUCGAUGAUUAGAAAAGAAGAGGGAGGGUGAGAAAGGGAUCGAUAGGGUCAAAAAUUUGGCUUGUUUUGCUUCGAUUUCCUCCAUCUCCAAACUCGCCAAAGCUCCGACAAUACAAAAAGGUGAUCCCAAGAUACAUCGCUAAAACCCAUUGUAAAGCGGUCAAAAACCGAUGACCCAAAUUCGUCACCACCGCAAUCUAUAUCCAUUUGAGCUUUCCAGUCGAUUGAAGAAUCUGUCAUAAUUAUUUUCUUAUUAUAAAAUUGUUUGUUUGAUACUUGGUAUCAAGUUUAGUGAAAUAGAGUUUGAGGUCGAGGUUUACUCAAAUUCAAUCUCGAUUCAAGGUAUUCCGGCCAUGCUUCG